CCUACGGGUGGCAGCAGUGAGGAAUAUUGGUCAAUGGGCGUAAGCCUGAACCAGCCAAGUCGCGUGAGGGAUGAAGGUUCUAUGGAACGUAAAACUCUUUUAUAAGGGAAUAAAGUGUGGGACGUGUCCGGUUUUGUAUGUACCUUAUGAAUAAGGAUCGGCUAACUCCGUGCCAGCAGCCGCGGUAAUACGGAGGAUCCGAGCGUUAUCCGGAUUUAUGGGGUGUACAGGGUGCGUAGGCGGCCUUUUAAGUCAGCGGUGAAAGUCUGUGGCUCCACCAUAGAAUUGCCGUUGAAACUGGGAGGCUUUAGUAUGUUUGCGGCAGCCGUCAUGCGUGGUGUAGCGGU
rnacentral:rRNA from 1 species